AAAAUAAACUUAAUUAGCUAAAACUGUCAAGAAAUUAAGUUUUAAAUUUAAAACCACCGAUGCAGAAUAUCAACCAUAGAGUAUCUUGCCACUUGCUCUUGGGACGACCAAUAACUACAGAAAACUUUGUUGGCAGUUUAGUAUGAUUUUGGUUGGCCGAUUUGCAAAUAAAUUGAAGGAGCGAAUUAUCAUAGUUUUAAGAUCUAGUAAAAAAGAAAAAGAAAAAGAAAAUCAUAUGA
rnacentral:lncRNA from 1 species